rnacentral:rRNA from 1 species
CAGUCGCCACGGGAAUACGAAGGGUGCAAGCGUUACUCGGAAUUACUGGGCGUAAAGCGUGCGUAGGUGGUGGUUUAAGUCCGUUGUGAAAGCCUUGGGCUCAACCUGGGAAUUGCAGUGGAUACUGGGUCACUAGAGUGUGGUAGAGGAUAGUGGAAUUUCCGGUGUAGCAGUGAAAUGCGUAGAGAUCGGAAGGAACAUCUGUGGCGAAGGCGACUAUCUGGGCCAACACUGACACUGAGGCACGAAAGCGUGGGGAGCAAACAGGAUUAGAUACCCCUGUAGUCCCUGUCUCUUAUAC